UUUGUGGUGUAGUUUUGAGCCCGCUUAGCUCUUGAAAUGUGAUCUCGCCUGGAUUUGCAAUAGAACAGCUGCCAAGCAAACUGUGAAGGAACAGAAUGCACCAACGUUCAGAUGAAAUCAACAAGGAAAUCCUUCCUCAUCAAACCGGCAGUCACCGUCAAAACAAGCACACCCUGAGUAAUUGCUGCUGACAAAGGGAAUGCCCGACAUCCACAGCUUCUGCAAAACACCCUGAGCACAUGUCCGUGGAUGGAGUCUCACUCUGUCACCCAGGCUGGAGUGCAAUGGUGCAAUCUCAGCUCACUGCAGCCUCCACCUCCAGGAUUCAAGUGAUCCUCCCACCUCAGCCGCCCGAGUAGCUGGG